UCUAACCCUUUUCUCUUACUCUCUAACUUUUCUCUCUCUAGUGAUCUCCCCAAUAAGAAAAGAUUGAAGGAGAUAGGGCUUGCUUGGAGGAGAAACAAGCUCUUAUACAAAAGAGGCUUAAAAAGAGCAAAAUUCCUAAGGUUGUACAAGAACGCCUAGUAGCUUCGAUUCGAAGAGUAGCGACGUUUCGAUGAUCGAUUGAGGAAAAUCGAGCCAAAAAUGAUGGAUUUCAUUCGUUAGCGCCAAAAAGUGCCGAAUCAGUGUCGGAAGCUAAAUUGCUCUGAUUUUCCUGCAAUUGGCAUCGAAUCGAGAGCUUAGCACGAGCGGUGCGGUCGAGGAUCGCGGCAAGGACAUAGCGCCCUAAGUAGUAGACUCCCGUGUAUUAGCUCACUCUAUAUAUAUUAGAGAGGUGUUUUUGUGUAUUAUAAGAGAACUUGUAGAGGCUUCACUUUGGGAGAUGAAAAUGUUCAUGUCAUUGUAUAUGCAUGUGUGUAAUAUGUAUGGAAUGAUGUAUUUUGGAUUGAUGUAUGUGAAGCUUAAAUGUUUUAGUUGUAAUAGUUAAGUAAUUAUUCUCUCGCUCUUGUAUAAUUGCCUUCGUGCAAUUCAUGUAUAUUGUUGUUUUUCCUAAGCAAAACUUGAUGUACAUGAUCUUGCUUAUGCCUUAGGCGGACAGAGAAAACUCUGUUCGUUCAGCGAUCUGUGUGCGUGCCCAAACUGACCAAAAUGGCGGUCUCGAAGCGUGACAAUAAAUCAAAUUUUGGGCCUUUUAUGGAAAAACUUUUAGUUGUGUACUUCAAUGAUAUCUUAAUAUAUAGCAAGACAAAGCAUGAGCACUUGGGGCAUGUUCGACAAGUUUUUGCGGUUAUGCGUAAAGAGAUUAUAUAUUCACAUGAAAAAGUGCAUCUUUAUGCAAUGACAAGUCAUUUUUCU